rnacentral:rRNA from 1 species
ACGGGUGAGUAAUAUAUCGGAACGUGCCCUAGAGUGGGGGAUAACUAGUCGAAAGAUUAGCUAAUACCGCAUACGAUCUAAGGAUGAAAGUGGGGGAUCGCAAGACCUCAUGCUCCUGGAGCGGCCGAUAUCUGAUUAGCUAGUUGGUGGGGCAAAAGCCUACCAAGGCGACGAUCAGUAGCUGGUCUGAGAGGACGACCAGCCACACUGGGACUGAGACACGGCCCAGACUCCUACGGGAGGCAGCAGUGGGGAAUUUUGGACAAUGGGGGCAACCCUGAUCCAGCAAUGCCGCGUGAGUGAAGAAGGCCUUCGGGUUGUAAAGCUCUUUUGUCAGGGAAGAAACGGUUCCAGCUAAUAUCUGGAGCUAAUGACGGUACCUGAAGAAUAAGCACCGGCUAACUACGUGCCAGCAGCCGCGGUAAUACGUAGGGUGCAAGCGUUAAUCGGAAUUACUGGGCGUAAAGCGUGCGCAGGCGGUUGUGUAAGUCAGAUGUGAAAUCCCCGGGCUCAACCUGGGAAUUGCAUUUGAGACUGCACGGCUAGAGUGUGUCAGAGGGGGGUAGAAUUCCACGUGUAGCA